rnacentral:tRNA from 1 species
GGUUAUAAAGCUUUCCAGCCAAGCAUGUGCCUUGAAACCACAAGAAAGGAGUUAAACCCUCCUAAUAACCU